rnacentral:rRNA from 1 species
CCUACGGGAGGCAGCAGUAGGGAAUCUUGCGCAAUGGGGGAAACCCUGACGCAGCAACGCCGCGUGAUUGAUGAAGCCCUUCUGGGUGUAAAGAUCUGUCAGUGGGGACGAAACUUGACGGUACCCACAGCGGAAGCAUCGGCUAACUCGGGGCCACCAGCCGCGGUAAUACGGGGGAUGCAGCCGUUGUCCGGAAUCAUUGGGCGUAAAGGGUUCGUAGGUGGCACGUUUAGUCUGGGGGUAAAUGGAGAGGCUCAACCUCUGGUCGGCACUGGAUACUGGUGAGCUUGAAUGCGGUAGAGGUAAAGGGAAUGCCUGGUGUAGCGGUGAAAUGCGUAGAUAUCAGGAGGAACAUCGGUGGCGUAAGCGCUUUACUGGGCCGUAAUUGACACUGAGGAACGAAAGCCAGGGUAGCAAAUGGGAUUAGAUACCCGGGUAGUC